AUUGAACGCUGGCGGCAGGCCUAACACAUGCAAGUCGAGCGGAUGAAGGGAGCUUGCUCCUGGAUUCAGCGGCGGACGGGUGAGUAAUGCCUAGGAAUCUGCCUGGUAGUGGGGGAUAACGUCUGGAAACGGGCGCUAAUACCGCAUACGUCCUGAGGGAGAAAGUGGGGGAUCUUCGGACCUCACGCUAUCAGAUGAGCCUAGGUCGGAUUAGCUAGUUGGUGGGGUAAAGGCCUACCAAGGCGACGAUCCGUAACUGGUCUGAGAGGAUGAUCAGUCACACUGGAACUGAGACACGGUCCAGGCUCCUACGGGAGGCAGCAGUGGGGAAUAUUGGACAAUGGGCGAAAGCCUGAUCCAGCCAUGCCGCGUGUGUGAAGAAGGUCUUCGGAUUGUAAAGCACUUUAAGUUGGGAGGAAGGGCAGUAAGUUAAUACCUUGCUGUUUUGACGUUACCAACAGAAUAAGCACCGGCUAACUUCGUG
rnacentral:rRNA from 1 species